rnacentral:rRNA from 1 species
UACGAAGGGGGCUAGCGUUGCUCGGAAUCACUGGGCGUAAGGCGCACGUAGGCGGAUUGCUAAGUCAGGGGUGAAAUCCUGGAGCUCAACUCCAGAACUGCCUUUGAUACUGAAGAUCUUGAGUUCGGGAGAGGUGAGUGGAACUGCGAGUGUAGAGGUGAAAUUCGUAGAUAUUCGCAAGAACACCAGUGGCGAAGGCGGCUCACUGGCCCGAUACUGACGCUGAGGCACGAAAGCGUGGGGAGCAAACAGG